GUGAAAGGCCAAUCAAACUUCGUGAUAGCUGGUUCUCUCCGAAAUAUAUUUAGGUAUAGCGUUGUGUCGUAAUAUAAGGGGGUAGAGCACUGAAUGGGCUAGGGCAUACACCAAUGUACCAAACCCUAUCAAACUCCGAAUACCUUAUAUGUAAUCACAGCAGUCAGGCGGCGAGUGAUAAAAUCCGUCGUCAAGAGGGAAACAACCCAGACUACCAGCUAAGGUCCCUAAAUCUUACUUAAGUGGAAAACGAUGUGAAGUUACUUAAACAACCAGGAGGUUGGCUUAGAAGCAGCCAUCCUUUAAAGAAAGCGUAAUAGCUCACUGGUCUAGUGAUUUUGCGCGGAAAAUAUAACGGGGCUAAAGU
rnacentral:rRNA from 1 species